rnacentral:rRNA from 1 species
UACAGAGGAUGCAAGCGUUAUCCGGAAUGAUUGGGCGUAAAGCGUCUGUAGGUGGUUCAAAAAGUCUACUGUCAAAUACGUUGGCUCAACCAACGGCAGGCAUUAGAGUACUAUUGAACUAGAGUGUGGUAGAGGUAGAGGGAAUCCCUAGCGUAACAGUGAAAUGUGUAGAUUUUAGGGAGAACACCAGCGGCGAAGGCGCUCUACUGGGCCAUUACUGACACUGAGAGACGAAAGCUAAGGGAGCGAAAGGG